AUUGAACGCUGGCGGCAGGCCUAACACAUGCAAGUCGAGCGGAUGAAGGGAGCUUGCUCCUGGAUUCAGCGGCGGAGGGGUGAGUAAUGCCUAGGAAUCUGCCUGGUAGCGGGGGAUAACGUCCGGAAACGGGCGCUAAUACCGCAUACGUCCUGAGGGAGAAAGUGGGGGAUCUUCGGACCUCACGCUAUCAGAUGAGCCUAGGUCGGAUUAGCUAGUUGGUGGGGUAAAGGCCUACCAAGGCGACGAUCCGUAACUGGUCUGAGAGGAUGAUCAGUCACACUGGAACUGAGACACGGUCCAGACUCCGACGGGAGGCCGCAGUGGGGAAUAUUGGACAAUGGGCGAAAGCCUGAUCCAGCCAUGCCGCGUGUGUGAAGAAGGUCUUCGGAUUGUAAAGCACUUUAAGUUGGGAGGAAGGGCAGUAAGUUAAUACCUUGCUGUUUUGACGUUACCAACAGAAUAAGCACCGGCUAACUUCGUG
rnacentral:rRNA from 1 species